rnacentral:rRNA from 1 species
AUUGAACGCUGGCGGCAUGCCUUACACAUGCAAGUCGAACGGCAGCACGGGUGCUUGCACCUGGUGGCGAGUGGCGAACGGGUGAGUAAUACAUCGGAACAUGUCCUGUAGUGGGGGAUAGCCCGGCGAAAGCCGGAUUAAUACCGCAUACGAUCUACGGAUGAAAGCGGGGGACCUUCGGGCCUCGCGCUAUAGGGUUGGCCGAUGGCUGAUUAGCUAGUGGGUGGGGUAAAGGCCUACCAAGGCGACGAUCAGUAGCUGGUCUGAGAGGACGACCAGCCACACUGGGACUGAGACACGGCCCAGACUCCUACGGGAGGCAGCAGUGGGGAAUUUUGGACAAUGGGCGCAAGCCUGAUCCAGCAAUGCCGCGUGUGUGAAGAAGGCCUUCGGGUUGUAAAGCACUUUUGUCCGGAAAGAAAUCCUUGGCCCUAAUACGGUCGGGGGAUGACGGUACCGGAAGAAUAAGCACCGGCUAACUACGUG